rnacentral:tRNA from 1 species
ACUUUUAUAAGGGUAAAAGUUUACCCAAUGGUUUUAGGUACCAUGAAUUUUGGUGCAAUUCCAAGUAAAAGUA